UUGCCAUGCUAAGUGUUCCUGAAUAAACCUGCUUGAAGAAGGACAACGUGGUGUUGCGUCUUUCCUGCUGGUCGGGGUGGAUGCGACAUUCUCUCAAAUUUUUGCCACCGAGGGAGAUGGGUCCUUUUGGAAGGAGGGAUGGUGCCAGUCACAGCUUGGUGAUGAGACGGUUAUUGAGCUGUCCUCUCCUCAGUGAAGCAUGCCAGACAGACCUCUGACCAGAUUGCCUCCCAUGGCAGACAUUGCUAAUUGAUAACAAUCCUCUGCCCUCUACGUCUAGUCCUGAUUUCAGUUCUUCCUCCAUUACCGGGCAGUACCAAUCACAAAUGAGUGUCUUCCCACUGUGAAGAAAGGGGAAGAAGAAUUAGCAGCUUCCUGUCUGAGGACUUCCACUGGAAUUGAUUGAUCCUGGCAGAAAGAAACCAGCAUUUUCCUUCCAAAUUAAUAUGCAAAUAAGUGAAUGAAGAGAGCAGCAAAGCACCUGUCUUUGUGGGUUUCGUCUGGAGUAGAGUCCACGUGCCUGCAAAGCAGCCUCUGUGCCUCUUGGUGCUGCAGAGCUUUUCCUGGACUGGGCUUCAAGGGGAAAAGCUGCAAGUGAGCAGCACUCUCUGUGGCCAGACUCAGAAGUUCAUGAGCAAAGCUAACCCAGUCUCAAGAGAAUGAACCUGAUUUCCUGAGAACAACAUUGUACUCUCUGAAGGAAUGAAUAGCCCUUAACAGCAUCCUCUUCAAAUACUGCUGCAAUGUCAAUAUGAUUUUCAAAGUGGAGAAGCCACAGUGGAAGAACAGCAAGUGCUUCCUUUAAACUGAGUGGAUGAUUUGAAGUUGAAACUCAGAGGUUAAGAAGGAGCCAGGACAUAUACCCAAAAGAUGCCCCACCAUACCACAGGGGAUGACAAAUAAGCACCAGGAAGCCCAGUUAGCCAAAGACGACAGUUCCAGUGCAUACCAUUAGUACCCAUGAGAGCUAAGAAUGCCAGUCCCAGAGCACCCAAAGGAGGCUGCACUUCCAGGUGCUCUAAAACACCCAGAAUCCCUUAAAGAAUUACAGGAAAACAAAUUAAACAAGUGAAGGAAAUGAACAAAACCACCCAAGAUAUAAAAAUGGAAGUAGAAAAAAAUAAAGAAAUCACAAAGGGAGACAACCCUGGAGAUAGAAAAUCUAAGAAAGAGAUCAGGAGCCACAGAUGCAAGCAUCACCAACAGAAUACAAGAGAUAGAAGAGAGAAUCUCAGGGACAGAAGAUUCCAUAGAAAACAUUGACACAACAGCCAAAGAAAAUGCAAAAUGCAAAAAGCUCCUAACCCCAAAAUGUCCAGGAAAUCCAGGACACAAUGAGAAGACCAAACCUAAGGAUAAUAGGUAUAGAAGAGAAUGAAGAUUCCCAACUUAAAGGGCCAGUAAGUAUCUUCAAUAAAAUUAUAGAAGAAAACUUCCCUAACCU
ensembl:lincRNA